CGGCGCCAUGUUGGAAGAGGGAGGCGCUCGGUGAGGGUCGCGACGGGGAUGGAGGAACAGGCCCGGACACUCCUGAGGCUCGGAGCGACGUCCGGAGGCCGGAAAAAUCCAUUUGUGGGACUCGUUAAAGUGUAAAUCUAAAUAUUGAUAACAUUAUUUCUAUAAUUACAUAUAAUUAUUACCAGCUGCUACCUAUAUAUAAUUGUUCUAAAUAAUCUUAGAUAUUUCAACAAAAAUAUAUUUGUAAUAGAAAAAUGA